UAUCGAUGUUUGAGUGUCUUCAUUUUAUCGAUAUGUCAGUCGACUCGUAAAAGCCUGACUGUUGUGUCAAAUUACAUAAAUCGAUAAUUUGUUAAUCAACUAAAAUAUACCAAUUUAAAUAGCAACUUAACAUAAGAUGCAAAUCAGCUGACAAGUGAUUCAAUUUUUCUCACAAUGUCUUUUGUCAGUCUGGUAAACAUAACUGUGCUAAUGAAACCAACGUUGAAAUGAUUUCCUCUUCUCUCUUCACAAACUUUAAUUGAUCUCUGGUUCGAUUAGUUAACACAAACAUUGAUACAGUAAAGAUACAAUAAAGAUACAAUCUUAUUGAGCCUAAGGAUUUAGACGACUGCAUUAAAAUGGAUUGACUUAUAAACGUUUCUUAAAUUAGUGACUGAUAUUCACUUUCCUUCAACCAAAUUGGGAAUCAAUUAAGGAUCAAAGUCACCUAAAGUUUACAUUUAUUUUCUGGUUGUAACUGUAAAUACCAAACCAAAUAGCUUCAGCCAAGUGAUCUGGACAUGAAUUUGAUAAAAAAAAUUUAAUCAUAUCAUGAAUAUUUCAACAUCAACUAAUCAUCAUCAUCAACAUUAUGAUAUCCUAAAGGAUUUCAUUUCUAUCUCAUCUUAAUUUGGACAACUUGAUAAGUUUAACGUCAGUCAACUUCAACAUUUAACAUUCACAUGUAUUAUAAAUUGGUUUUACCUUAUUUUCUGGCAUUACAACCAUUAAUUAUUUAGACAAAUCGAUCUCAUUUCAAAUUAAACGUUUCUACUCUUUUAUCAACACUGACAAAUUGAUUUUGAAUAUAAAAGACUUUUAUUUUUUGCUUCCCUCAUACUGACACUGAUAAUUUUUACAUGAAACUCAGCUAAUCUAUUAUCCAAACCAUUUACGAUUAUUAAAUGAAUCUUUCAAGUUAUCAUUCAUUCCAAUCAACCCAUCCUGGCUUUAAUUGUAUCAAUUUAAAUGUAUCAAUCAAUUCAACAAACAGGAUGACGAUUUAUUAAACAAACAAAA